rnacentral:ncRNA from 1 species
UCGAGCCGGAUGCGGGGACAACUCGCACGUCCGGUUCUACGGGGGCCCCUAUUCCGAAAGGAAUGGGGGCUACCCUAC